rnacentral:rRNA from 1 species
GAAGCCCCCCUUAAGAUGAGAUUUCCCAACUUCGGUUAUAAGAUCCCUCAGAGAUGAUGAGGUUAAUAGGUUCGAGGUGGAAGCGUGGUGACACGUGGAGCUGACGAAUACUAAUCGAUCGAAGACUUAAUCAAUUU